rnacentral:rRNA from 1 species
GCGAAUGGUGGAUGCCUUGACUGGUAAAGGCGAUGAAGGACGUACUAGACUGCGAUAAGCUACGGGGAGCUGUCAAGAAGCUUUGAUCCGUAGAUUUCCGAAUGGGGCAACCCAAUGUAUAGAGAUAUACAUUACCUAUAUAGGAGCGAACGAGGGGAAUUGAAACAUCUUAGUACCCUCAGGAAAAGAAAUCAAUAGAGAUUGCGUCAGUAGCGGCGAGCGAAAGCGCAAGAGGGCAAACCCAGUGCUUGCACUGGGGGUUGUAGGACUGCAAUGUGCAAGAGGUAAGUUUAGCAGAACAUUCUGGAAAGUAUAACCAUAGAGGGUGAUAGUCCCGUAUGCGAAAAACAAACCUUAGCUAGCAGUAUCCUGAGUAGGGCGGGACACGAGGAAUCCUGUCUGAAUCCGGGUCGACCACGAUCCAACCCUAAAUACUAAUACCAGAUCGAUAGUGCACAAGUACCGUGAGGGAAAGGUGAAAAGAACUGAGGUGAUCAGAGUGAAAUAGAACCUGAAACCAU